GACAGAGGAUGCAAGCGUUAUCCGGAAUGAUUGGGCGUAAAGCGUCUGUAGGUGGUUACGCUAGUCGGCUGUUAAAGAUCAGGGCUGAACCCUGAGCAAGCAGUCGAAACUGCGUGGCUGGAGUACGGUAGGGGCAGAGGGAAUUCCCGGUGUAGCGGUGAAAUGCGUAGAUAUCGGGAAGAACACCAAAGGCGAAAGCGCUACUGCUGGGCCGACACUGACACUGAGAGACGAAAGCUAGGGGAGCGAAUGGGAUUAGAAACCCCUGAGUAGAUGCCAG
rnacentral:rRNA from 1 species